GUAAGUAUAGAGAGGAUGUGAUUGGUAAAUUCCAAAGUUCACCUCUCUCCAUACUUAG
rnacentral:pre_miRNA from 1 species